rnacentral:rRNA from 1 species
CCUACGGGAGGCAGCAGUAGGGAAUAUUGCUCAAUGGGGGAAACCCUGAAGCAGCAACGCCGCGUGGAGGAUGACGGUUUUCGGAUUGUUACCUCCUUUUGUUAGAGAAGAUAAUGACGGUAUCUAACGAAUAAGCACCGGCUAACUCCGUGCCAGCAGCCGCGGUAAUACGGAGGGUGCAAGCGUUACUCGGAAUCACUGGGCGUAAAGAGCGCGUAGGCGGGAUAGCAAGUCAGAUGUGAAAUCCUAUGGCUUAACCAUAGAACUGCAUUUGACACUGUUAUUAUAGAGUAUGGGAGAGGUAGGUGGAAUUCUUGGUGUAGGGGUAAAAUCCGUAGAGAUCAAGAGGAAUACUCAUUGCGAAGGCGACCUGCUAGAACAUAACUGACGCUGAUGCGCGAAAGCGUGGGGAGCAAACAGGAUUAGAUACCCUUGUAGUC